rnacentral:rRNA from 1 species
AUUGAACGCUGGCGGCAUGCUUAACACAUGCAGGUCGAACGCGAAAGUCCUUCGGGCGAGUAGAGUGGCGGACGGGUGAGUAACGCGUGGGAAUCUACCCUAGAGCGGGGGACAACCCGGGGAAACCCGGGCUAAUACCGCAUACGUCCUACGGGAGAAAGAGGGCCUCUGCUUGCACGCUCUCACUCCAGGAUGAGCCCACGUCCGAUUAGCUAGUUGGUAGGGUAAAGGCCUACCAAGGCCACGAUCGGUAGCUGGUCUGAGAGGAUGAUCAGCCACACUGGGACUGAGACACGGCCCAGACUCCUACGGGAGGCAGCAGUGGGGAAUAUUGGACAAUGGGCGCAAGCCUGAUCCAGCAAUGCCGCGUGUGUGAAGAAGGCCUGCGGGUUGUAAAGCACUUUUCAGUGGGGAAGAUGACGGUACUGUAAGAAUAAGCACCGGCUAACUACGUGCCAGCAGCCGUCGGUAAUGUAGUCGUGU